UUUACAUACCUACAUUGUUUGGGGGUAUAGAUUCUCUUUAAGUGACUUUUCCAGGGUCACAAGGAGUUGUCACAAGCAACCGAACUAGGGUCUCUAGCAUGAGAUCCUACAGCAAAGGCUGCUCACCUAACCUCUAGGUUAAUAAUAUUAGGAAAGGGCAAGUUUGCAUGCAUUGCUGUGUCUGUAACUGUUGCAAUUAAACAGUUCUACUCUGUGCUGUGGCCUGUUAAAUGUAAUAGACUGUUUUCUUUGCUUUUUAUAUUCAGAUGCACCUGAUCCUACAACUGCACCGGCUGAUUCUGAUACUAAACCUACAUCUGCAGCUUGUGGCACACAUUCAUCCUGGACUGUGCUAUUAAUGCUCACAUCAGUUGUCAUGUUUUUUGGAAAGCCGUGACCUUCUGAACUGGAUUUAAAGAACCUAAAGACCAAUGCACUGCAGUAAUCUUCGGCUUUCAUCAAACAAUGAUAAUGUAGGUCUCUUUAAAAAUCUAUAACGGCUCAUAUGCAAAAUCCUGCUUCAUACAAAUAAGCCAUUUUUAUAGAAAUAUACCUUUUUAGCAGUCUGUGUCGUUGGUUAAUCCUAAAUAGAAUACUGUCAUUUUAAGUACUAAGGGCCACCCCCUGGGAUAAUAUGAUUCAUGUGGCAUGCAUAAAUGUUAAGUCAUUGGCCAAUUAAUGGUCAAAUUCCUGUCUUUUACCCCCGCCCCAUGACUUCCUGUUGCAGUUAGAGCUGCAUUACUUCCUGCCAGGUGAUCUCUAAACCCAGCCCAGCACAAAA